UGGGGAAUUUUGGACAAUGGGGGCAACCCUGAUCCAGCAAUGCCGCGUGUGUGAAGAAGGCCUUCGGGUUGUAAAGCACUUUUGUCCGGAAAGAAAACGUCGUGGUUAAUACCCGUGGCGGCUGACGGUACCGGAAGAAUAAGCACCGGCUAACUACGUGCCAGCAGCCGCGGUAAUACGUAGGGUGCAAGCGUUAAUCGGAAUUACUGGGCGUAAAGCGUGCGCAGGCGGUCCGCUAAGACAGAUGUGAAAUCCCCGGGCUUAACCUGGGAACUGCAUUUGUGACUGGCGGGCUAGAGUAUGGCAGAGGGGGGUAGAAUUCCACGUGUAGCAGUGAAAUGCGUAGAGAUGUGGAGGAAUACCGAUGGCGAAGGCAGCCCCCUGGGCCAAUACUGACGCUCAUGCACGAAAGCGUGGGGGAGCAAACAGGAUUCAGAUACCCUGGUAGUCCACGCCCUAAACGAUGUCAACUAGUUGUCGGUCUUCAUUGACUUGGUAACGUAGCUAACGCGUGAAGUUGACCGCCUGGGGAGUACGGUCGCAAGAUU
rnacentral:rRNA from 1 species